rnacentral:lncRNA from 1 species
CACUUGGUGGUGCGCAACUGCCUGCAGCCGCAGGCCCGGUUGCUGAAGGAGUUGAGCGACUACCUGACCAACCUGCACAGUCUGGGGACCCGGAGCGAGGGCCUGGUCAACCUCCUCUUCAGCAAGCUCAGCCUGCACGAUGGGGGCAAGGAGAACUGAGCGUGGACUGUCCCGGGCCGGGCCCAGGGCUCCCCCUGGUCUCCAGGCAGGCCACGCGCUCCUCCAUCACUGCUUUCAUGUCCCUUCUUUGUUGCACUGUUGCUUCCAAUAUAAAGUUACUUGGUUCUUAACGAAAAAAGAAAAAAAGAAGUCUUGCUCCGCAACUUGUUAAAAACUUGGGUAUGGUAAAAAAUAAUAUGGUGAAUGCUGCUGUCCAGUGUAUCCAAUGGAAAGGAUGGAUCAUAAAACCAUGGCAGUGUUUCCUCAUUGGCUUUAUUCAUCUGAUCAGAUACCAUGUGACUUCUGGCUCUUCCUCCAAGUCAAAAUGACCCUGAAAUCAAGAAGCCUUCACCAGCUUCUCAUGGUAUGAAGCCAUCACGAGUUGAAGGACUUCACCAGCUCUGACUCCUCAAACUUGGAUUCCCACCCCCAGAACCAUGAACUUAAUAACCUUUAUUCUUUAUAAAUUACCAAG